rnacentral:rRNA from 1 species
GAUGAACGCUGGCGGCGUGCCUAAUACAUGCAAGUCGAACGGACAGGCGAUGAUCUUGCGUCUUGCUCGUGUGCCGAAGGCGUGAGUAAAACGCGUGUAUACUGUACCUGUCUUUCGGAUAUCUUUUCGAGACACGGGAUCAUAUAGGAUAGGAGCUCUUGAAGCAUGGUGGGCGAUGGUAAGUUACGGUGGUUCGGGAACGAAUAGCGGCUUACCGGCUUGAUGGUGGGGUAGUGGCUUACCAAGGCUUUGACGGGUAGGCGGCCUGAGAGGGUGGCCGGCCACAUUGGGACUGAGAUACGGCCCAGACUCCUACGGGAGGCAGCAGUGGGGAAUAUUGCACAAUGAGCGGAAGCCUGUUGCAGCAGCGCCGCGUUCGUGAUGACGGCCUUCGGGUUGUAAACCGCUUUCGCCUGUAACGAGGCGUGAGUGACGGUAAUGGGUAAAAAAGCACCGGCUAACUACGUG